AAGGGUAUAGUUCAGAGGUAGAACAUGUGCUUAGCAUGCACGAGGUCUUGGGUUCAAUCCCCAGUACCUCUA
rnacentral:tRNA from 1 species